UACGUAGGCAGCGAGCGUUGUUCGGAGUUACUGGGCGUAAAGGGUGUGUAGGCGGUUUUCUAAGUCUGGUGUGAAAUCUCCCGGCUCAACUGGGAGGGUGCGCCGAAAACUGGAAGGCUAGAGUGCGGGAUGGGUAAGUGGAAUUCCUGGUGUAGCGGUGAAAUGCGUAGAUAUCAGGAGGAACACCGAUGGCGAAGGCAGCUCGCUGGGACGGUACUGACGCUGAGGCGCGAAAGCGUGGGGAGCAAACAGG
rnacentral:rRNA from 1 species